CGAUCCCACGCGGGAGAGACCCGGACCGAAGCAAACAGCCAAGGCCGGGCGCCGAAGGAGCAACCGCCCCGGAAACUCUCAGGCAAAAGGACCGCGAUCGGGUG
rnacentral:ncRNA from 2 species